UACGUAGGGGGCAAGCGUUGUCCGGAUUUAUUGGGCGUAAAGAGCGUGUAGGCGGCCUGGAAGGUCAGCUGUGAAAACUCGAGGCUCAACCUCGAGACGUCGGUUGAAACCACCUGGCUAGAGUCCGGAAGAGGAGUGUGGAAUUCCCGGUGUAGCGGUGAAAUGCGCAGAUAUCGGGAAGAACACCCGUGGCGAAGGCGGCACUCUGGGACGGUACUGACGCUGAGGUGCGAAAGCGUGGGGAGCAAACAGG
rnacentral:rRNA from 1 species